rnacentral:rRNA from 1 species
AUUGAACGCUGGCGGCAGGCCUAACACAUGCAAGUCGAGCGGAUGAAGUGAGCUUGCUCCUGGAUUCAGCGGCGGACGGGUGAGUAAUGCCUAGGAAUCUGCCUGGUAGUGGGGGAUAACGUCCGGAAACGGGCGCUAAUACCGCAUACGUCCUGAGGGAGAAAGUGGGGGAUCUUCGGACCUCACGCUAUCAGAUGAGCCUAGGUCGGAUUAGCUAGUUGGUGGGGUAAAGGCCUACCAAGGCGACGAUCCGUAACUGGUCUGAGAGGAUGAUCAGUCGCACUGGAACUGAGACACGGUCCAGACUCCUACGGGAGGCAGCAGUGGGGAAUAUUGGACAAUGGGCGAAAGCCUGAUCCAGCCAUGCCGCGUGUGUGAAGAAGGUCUUCGGAUUGUAAAGCACUUUAAGUUGGGAGGAAGGGCGGUAAGUUAAUACCUUGCUGUUUUGACGUUACCAACAGAAUAAGCACCGGCUAACUUCGUG